GGUCUCACUCUGUCACCCAAGUUGGAAUGCAGCAGCAUGAUCACAGCUCAUUGCAGCCUUGACUUCCCAGUCUCAAGCAAUCCUCCCAUCUCAGCCUCUUGAGUAGCUGGGACCACAGGCACACACCACCAUUUAGCCAGGCGUGGUGGUGUGUGCCUGUGGUCCCAGCUACAGUGUCUCUCUAUAUUGUCCAGCCUUGUCUCGAACUCCUGGGCUCAAGUAAUCUUCUGUCUCAACAUCCCAAAGUAAUUUCCCAAAAAAGGCUGCCAGAAGACCUGCUGUUUUUCUUUGACCACUUCGGAAAAGUCGGUGGGGUUGUCGACGUGGAGCAGAGCCUCCUCCUCUACUGCUACCACCAGCACACGACCACACACUCUGUCUUGGAGGCCACCAUCUGGCCUUGCUGCUCCCACUUUCUCGUCCUCACGCACUGGGUGAUCUUCACCAUCGGGAACUGGGGGCAAGCAGGGGUGCAGGCUGGAUUGCAGCGUAAGGUUGGUCUGUUUUGUGACAUUGAUGAGAACAAGCUCACGGGCCUCUACUGCUAGGGGAAUCUCAGGAAAAGCCCAGGGUUCCAAUCUACCCACUGCCCUUCAUCAUCUGUGUGAAGCUGGGCUUCACAUAUGCAGGGGGCCAGAAGGUCGACCAGAAGGGUGAGUUUGAGGAUAACCCGAGGCCUCCUGAACCUGCAGGAGGACUGGGACUUCCUUCCCUUCCUCUGAGAAACCUGCAGCAGCCACUGUCAGGCAACAGUCGUGACAACUUGCAGCUGUUGUCUGCUGCUGCAUCUCCGGGCUUUUGAGACCUUCCAGGCAUGAUUUGUCCCUUUACAACAUUCACCUUUUGUGUUAAGUGCUCAGUUCAGCCCCUUGGACCUGGAGGAUAUGACAGUAGCUAUCUUGUAUGUGUAGUCCCGCAGGAGAGGAGCCUGUCCCACCAGUGUGGCAAUAGCCAUCAGGGUCUCACUGUGGACCAAAACUGUCCCUGGACACAGGCUGCCUGGUCCUUUUGGACCCCAGGCCUUGGCUAUGGGCUCAGGACCUCCUUGUAUGUGACUUUGGCCAGUCAAGGGGACUCUGUGCUAGUCUUUUUCAUCUAAAAUGGGAAGCAAGAAGGAGGGUUUUUGCUUGUUUGUUUGUUUUGUUGUUUUGAGAUGGAAUUUUGCUCUUGUUGCCCAGGCUGGAGUGCAAUGGCACAAUCUCGGCUCACCGCAACCUCCACCUCCUGGGUUCAAGCGAUUCUCCCGCUUCAACCUCCCGAGUAGCUGAGAUUACAGGCAUGCGCCACCACGCCUGGCUAAUUUUGUAUUUUUAGUAGAGAUGGGGUUUCACUAUAUUGGCCAGGCUGGUCUGGUCUCGAACUCCUGACCUCAUGAUCUGCCAGCCUCGGCCUCCCAAAGUGCUGGGAUUACAGGUGUGAGCCACCACACCUGGCUGAGGGAGGCAUGUUUUAAGGCUUGAAUGAAAUAGAAGUUAAUCUGCAAAGUUAAAAAACUAAAAAUCCAUAAUGUAUUUUGAUAAAAAUUUACUUCCUAGCUUUUUUUUUUUUUUUCUUGAGACUAGGUCUCACCGUAUCACCCAGGCUGGAGUGAUGGGAUCAUGGCUCACUGCAGACCUCAAACUCCUGGGCUCAAGGAAUCCUUCUACCUUAGCCUCCUGAGUAGCAGUGUCAACAGGCAUGUACCACCACCUCCGGCUAAGUUGUUUUAUUCUUUUUUAGAUACAAACUCUCCCUUUGUUGCUCAGUCUGGUCUCGAACUCCUGGCUUCAAGCAAUCCUUCUGCCUCAGUCUCCCCAAUUGCUAGGAUUACAGGCUUGAGCCAUCUCACCGGCCCUAACCUUUUUAAAAAAUGUGUUUUUGGGAAACUUUUCACCCAUUGAAAAUCAGCAAUCUUCAUUUUUUGUUUUCUGAAAGAACACCUUUAUGAAUAUUUUUAUGGGUUGUCAAACAAAUAUACUUAGUAGACUAAUUUAUGGCAGAAUUCGAGAAACAGGGCAGCCCAAGCUAUGAAAUUGCACCCUGUGUUAUUUGGGAGGCUUGUGUGCUUGAGUUGCCAAACUAAGCUGCACAACUGUUCUAAGCUCUUGACUGCAUUGGCUUUUGCGUGACCAUUUUCCUUCUUGCUCCACGUUGAUUUUAGACAUCUUUGAAAAAUUAUCAUUUUCAGAUGUUUGGACAAAGAGGAAAAUUGUUGCCUUGGCUCCAAUAUCAAUUCCUUUCAUAACACUAAAUAUGCCAUUGCUACUAGAGUUUUGGUUCUCCGUUUCUCCCUGAGGACAUUGGUAUUAAGAAGAGAUUUGGCUCAAGCUACCUGAUCAUACCUAUCUUGUAUAUAGUUGCUAAUACAAUAUGAUUAGCAAGACUUGGGUAUAAUGUUACAGUGGUGUGGUAACAGAAUUCUGAUUUAUUCUACAGGCCCUUUGGCCAUUUUGUUAUUUUCCCCAUUCACGUCUAUUUUUUGUAUUUCUAAGAAAAAGAAUGUUACGGUUAGGUUAUAACUAUGUGGCACCACCACAAUUAUCAUUUUCUAUUCAAUUUAAAAUUUUGACUGUCAUAAAAUGCAAGCUUUACUGAAUUAGAAUCAUUCUGGAUUGUCUUGUUCCUUAGGACAACGUAAUAGCCAGACCUACAAGUUCUGAGUCUGGUUAUUAAUGUAAUUCAACCAGUCAGGCAGUGAUCCAGUCCAUUGUUCAGCCACUGAACCCCAACAAAAAGCUAAUUUCAUCAGUUAUAUCAAUCUUGUCUAAAGAUUUAUAACUUGAGUAGCAUUAUUUCAGCAGACUCAUUUUCCAUAGGGCAUCUGGAAAAUGAAGAUACUAUAGAAAACGAAAAUAAAAGUAGGGAAAAGAAGGAUGAUCAUUAGAUGUGUUCACCAUGUUUCCUUCCAGUUCUGUUUUUAUCAUAUGACUACACAAUUUGUUCAAGUCCAGAUAAAUUAUUGCUUCCCACAGGUCAUCAUUCCUUCCACUCAUGUCAAAACUAUUCAUCAUCAUCUCCAAAGUGUGUUUUGACUUAUGCUGUGCUUUGUAAAGGAUACACCCAAGGUUGGAGGUGAAAUAUGUGUCAGAGACUAGGAGUACAAAAAUUAGAUGUUUGGCUUUGUUCAUGGAUACUCCCCAAGUUUGAUCAUGUACUUUCAUGCUUCUGACCAUAUGCAGUCUGUUCCUUUUGUAUAAAACACCCAAUGAUUCCCUUGCACAGCUGGUUAAUUUUUCAAAGUCCUUUGAGAAGCAAACCAGUGUCACUUCUUCCAGAAUGUCUUUCUUGACUUUAACCCACUGGUAAUAAUUUAUUCAAUAACAACUCUCAUUUUUUUAGCAAUUUCCAUGGGCCAGAAAAUGUACUGUUUUGAAGUUAUUAUCCUUCCUGACUAUCCCUAAAUCAGUAUUUAAUUAUCACAACUACAUUAGGAAGCAGAUACUACCCCAACUUCCCAAAGAGGAAACUGCUGUUUAAAGAGAUUAAGUAACUUUCUUAAGGCCACACAGCCAGUACAUGGUAGAGGCAAGAUUUGAACCUGACUUCUGUAGUCUAUGUUCUAAGCCACUAGAGCAUAUGGUUUGGCUCUGUAUCCCCACCCAAAUCUCAUCUCAAAUUGUAAUCCCCACUUGUCAAGAAAGGGAGGUGAUUGGAUUGUGGGGGUGGUUUCUCGCAUGUUGUUCUCAUGAUAGUGAGUGAAUUCUCAAGAGAUCUGGUUGUUUGAUAAGUGUGAGGCUCUUCUUCCUUCGUGCACUGGCUCUCUCUCUCUCUCUAUCUCACCUGCCGACAAAUAAAACAUGCCUGCUUCCCCUUCCACCUUGAUUGUAAGUUUCCUGAGGCCUCCCCAGCCAUGCAGAACUGAGUCAAUUAAACCUCUUUUCUUUAUAAAUUACCCAGUCUCAGGGAAGUUCUUUAUAUCCGUGUGAAAACAGACUAAUACAAGUAUUGUUUCCCAAAGAGCAGCACGUGAACCACUGCAGCUAUGAGAUAAUUUUCAAUGGACAUGUUUACAUGAAUAAUUUUCUAUUAUUUCUUCUUUUUUUUGCAAAACAUUCAGAAAAUAAGAAAACAAAUAAAUUCUCAGCAUUUUGCCGAAUUUUCUUUGUAUUUUUAUUUUGAAGAAAAUAAACAUUACAUAUAGAGUUAGAGACCUCUUUGUGGCUCUCCGAGAUCUCAUUCCUUUCCAAUCCUCCUCAGAGGUAAUCAUUAUCCUAAAUUUAGUGUUUAUCAUUCCACUUCAAGUUUUUAAAUGACUACUAAGUACGUAUUUAUCAAUAUACAAUAUGUAGUAUUGUUUUACUUGUCUUCAAACUUUAUGUAAAUAUCAUACCACAUGUGUUAUUCUGCAGCUUGUUUCAUUCACUCAACAUUUAGUUAUCGAUAUUUAUUUAUUUGAUACACUUGGCCUCUGUUCAUGCAUUUCAAAUGCUGAACAUCAUUUCAUUGCAUCAAAAUGUCACUAGUUUAUUUAUACAUUCUCCUUUUGACUGACAUAUAUAUUACUUCCAAUGUUUGAUAUUAUAAAUAAUGCUGCACUUAGCAUUCUGUUGCAUGUCUUCUUGUGCACAUGUGCUAGAUUUCUUCCAGGUACAAAGAAGCAGAAUUGUAGAUAUACAUUAUAUGUAUCUUCAACCUUACAAAAUAUUACCAAAUUGCUCUCUGAAUGUGUCAAUUUCCAUUCCCACCAGCAGUUUAUGAGAAUUCCCUUUUCUCAAAAUCUUUAACCAACUUCUUAAGUUUUCCAGUCUUCUGAGUGGGAAAUGUUAUUUUGUAGUUUUAAAUUUGCAUUUCCUGAUAUUAGUGAUGUUAAAGGGGUUUAUUAGAAUAACGCCAUGAAAGGGGUUUAUUGGCCAUUUGGAUUUCUUCUUUUGUGAAUUGCUCAUUAUCCCUAUGAAAAUUAUUUAUUUUUAAAAUUUAUAUAGAGUAAAAUUCACUAUUUUUGGUACAUGCUAUGAGUAUUUGACCAAUGCAUAGAGUUGUGUAAUUAUCACCACAGACAAGAUAUAUGAAAUAAUAUCCCUUUGUAGUCAACUCCUUUCUUUAUGCACAAUCCCUGGAAACUGCUGAUUUCUUCUCCAUCCCAAUGGUUUUGUCUUAUCCAAAAUGUCAUAUAAAUGGAUUACACAGCAUGUAGAUUUUGGGUAUCUGGUUUCUUUCACUUAGCAUAAUGUGUUUACGAUUCCUCCAUGUUGUUAUGUAUUUCAAUAGAUUGUUCUUUGUUGCUGAGUGGAAUUCCAUUGUAUGGAUGUACUACCAUGUAUUUGUUAAUUUACCAGUUGAAGGGGUAUUUUAGAUUAUGAAUAAAGUUGCUAUGAAAUUUUGCAUAUAA